GCCGCCGUAGCUCAAAGGAUAGAGCAGGGGUCUUCUAAGCCCAAGGUUGGGGGUUCGAAUCCUCCGGCGGCG
rnacentral:tRNA from 1 species